rnacentral:rRNA from 1 species
CUCAGAACGAACGCUGGCGGCAGGCCUAACACAUGCAAGUCGAGCGCGCCUUCGGGUGAGCGGCGGACGGGUUAGUAACGCGUGGGAACGUGCCCAGAUCUGCGGAAUAGCCACUGGAAACGGUGAGUAAUACCGCAUACGCCCUUCGGGGGAAAGAUUAUCGGAUUUGGAUCGGCCCGCGUUAGAUUAGGUAGUUGGUGGGGUAAUGGCCUACCAAGCCUACGAUCUAUAGCUGGUUUUAGAGGAUGAUCAGCAACACUGGGACUGAGACACGGACCAGACUCCUACGGGAGGCAGCAGUGGGGAAUCUUAGACAAUGGGGGCAACCCUGAUCUAGCCAUGCCGCGUGAGUGAUGAAGGCCCUAGGGUCGUACAGCUCUUUCGCCUGUGAUGAUAAUGACAGUAAGCAGGUAAAGAAAACCCGGCUAACUCCGUGCCAGCAGACGCGGUAAUACGGAGGGGGUUCGCGUAGUACCGGAAUUACUGGGCGUAAAGCGCGCGUAGGCGGAUCAGAAAGUUGGGGGUGAAAUCCCGGGGCUCAA